rnacentral:lncRNA from 1 species
CGGGAGGUGGCCUCUGGAAGUAGAGAUCGCGGUGCCCCUGCACGCCUGGCACGGCCGCCACCACUCGAAUCAGUGGUCAGAACAAAAGGUGCUCUAGGGCAGCGGUGGCUUCUGGCCAGCGUAUGGCUGGAGGGGUUUCCUCGGUCCUCCACCAGCUAGCUCUGUAAAGUGAAGUUGCUGACACGCUGAAAACCUUCUGGACGCUGGCAGCGUUGUGUCUAAAGCUUUGAGCUGAGCAGUCUGAGACAGACAUCUCCGGAGCCUCCCCGGAACUCGCAAGGUGUUUGCAGGCUCCAGACAACCAGCGGUUUGCAGAUAAAUUAAAGAUUAAUUUCUACAGAAGAGAAACUCAAUCUUGCCCUCUCUAUACCUGAACUUCAUGGUAGAAGAUGCAUACUAUAACCAGAAGAACUAAAAGCAACAAAUUACACAGAGAUUUUUGGAUAUGACCUUUCUGAUACAGGAAGAGCCAAAGCCCAGAUCUAAGACAGCACUGCUCUCCAUAUGUUCAUUUGAUCAUAAUCAAAAAGGGCACUUCUUUCUCAGCAGGCAGAACCCAUUCCCAGGAGCUUCCCAGAGGACUUCCCCUUCAACCUGGGUAACACAGUCAUAAGCAAGCCAUCUGAGAUUUGGUUUUCAUAUCAGCUGUAGACAAGAUGUCUGUCAGAGCACGCAUCACCACAUGGAGAACUUCAAAUUUCCUCUGCUGGGCAAAUUGUCCUUUGGGCAUGUGCCCCUAGUUAGAACACAUCUUACAGUGGUGUAAUUUUCAUCAAUGUCCUUAUUUGUGUAUUUAAAAUACGUAUGAAAUCCUUAAUAGGCAG